AAGACUUAAAUGGGAAUUGACAGCUUUAGAAAUAGAGCUUUCUUCGGACAAUUUUCAAGGUGCUGCAUGGUUGUCGUCAGCUCGUGCCGUGAGGUGUUAGGUUAAGUCCUGCAACGAGCGCAACCCCUGUCACUAGUUGCCAUCAUUCAGUUGGGGACUCUAGUGAGACUGCCUACGCAAGUAGAGAGGAAGGUGGGGAUGACGUCAAAUCAUCACGGCCCUUACGUCUUGGGCCA
rnacentral:rRNA from 1 species